AUGCACACGCCAUUGAAAAGCAAUAAUACCGCCUUUGCCGCCUAAUAAAGUCCUUACACGUAAAUCACGUUGGUCUGCGUGCCUGCGCAGGUUACCAUUGGUCUAGUCUUUCCACUCGCAAUACACGAGAGCGUCCUAAGUUGUUUUUCCUGGUUCCAUGGCUUUACAACGCCGUAAACCACAUGCACACACCAUGAAAAGGCUAUAAUACGGCCUUUUGACGCCUAAUAAAGGUAAAUCACGUGGUUCCACGCGUCCAAGCUUGUUACCAUUGGUCUAGUUCUUUCACUCUCAAUACACUACGCCGUCCUAAGUUGGUUUCCUGGUUCCAUGGCUUUACAAUGGCGUAAACCACAUGCACACGCCAUGAAAAGGCUAUAAUACGGCCUUUUGACGCCUAUUAAAUGCCAUACACGUACAUCGCGUGUUUCUGCGUCACUGCACAGGUUACCAUUGGUCUAGUCCUUCCACUGUCAAUGCACUACGACGUCCUAAGUUGUUUUCUCUGGCUCCAUAGCUUUGGAACGCCGUCAACUACAUGCACACGCCAUUGAAAAGCAAUAAUACCGCCUUUGCCGCCUAAUAAAGUCCUUACACGUAAAUCACGUUGGUCUGCGUGCCUGCGCAGGUUACCAUUGGUCUAGUCUUUCCACUCGCAAUACACGAGAGCGUCCUAAGUUGUUUUUCCUGGUUCCAUGGCUUUACAACGCCGUAAACCACAUGCACACACCAUGAAAAGGCUAUAAUACGGCCUUUUGACGCCUAAUAAAGGUAAAUCACGUGGUUCCACGCGUCCAAGCUUGUUACCAUUGGUCUAGUUCUUUCACUCUCAAUACACUACGCCGUCCUAAGUUGGUUUCCUGGUUCCAUGGCUUUACAAUGGCGUAAACCACAUGCACACGCCAUGAAAAGGCUAUAAUACGGCCUUUUGACGCCUAUUAAAUGCCUUACACGUAAUCGUGUGGUUUGGCGUGCCUGCGCAGUUUACCAUUGGUCUAGUCCUUCCACUCUCAAUACACUAGAACGUCCUAAGUUGUUUUCUCUGGUUCCAUGUGUUUAGAACGCCGUAAACCACAUGCACACGCCAUUGAAAGGCCAUAAUACGGCCAUUUCCCGCCUAUUAAAGGCCUUACACGUAAAUCGCGUGUUUCCGCGUGACUGCGCAGGUUACUAUUGGUGUAGUUCUUCCACUCUCAAUGCACUACGCCGUCCUAAUUGUUUUCCCUGUUUCCAUGGCUUUACAACGCCGUAAACCACAUGCACACGCCAUGAAAAGGCUAUAAUACGGCCUUUUGACGCCUAUUAAAUGCCUUACACGUAAAUCGCGUGGUUCCGCGUGGCUGCGCAGGUUACCAUUGGUCUACUCCUUCGACUCUCAAUACACUACGCCGUCCUAAGUUUUUUUUUCCUGGUUCCAUGGCUUUACAACGGCGUAAACCACAUGCACACGCCAUGAAAAGGCUAUAAUACGGCCUUUUGACGCCUAUUAAAUGCCAUACACGUACAUCGCGUGGUUCUGCGUCACUGCACAGGUUACCAUUGGUCUAGUCCUUCCACUGUCAAUGCACUACGACGUCCUAAGUUGUUUUCUCUGGCUCCAUAGCUUUACAACGCCGUAAACCACAUGCAGACGCCAUGAAAAGGCUAUAAUACGGCCUUUUGACGCCUAAUAAAGGUAAAUCACGUGGUUCCACGCGUCCAUGCUUGUUACCAUUGGUCUAGUUCUUCCACUCUCAAUACACUACGCCGUCCUAAGUUGUUUUUCCUGGUUCCAUGGCUUUAGAACGCCGUAAACCACAUGGACACGCCAUGAAAAGGCUAUAAUACGGCCUUUUGACGCCAAUAAAGGUAAAUCACGUGGUUCCACGCGUCCAAGUUUGUUACCAUUGGUCUAGUUCUUCCACUCUCAAUACACUACGCCGUCCUAAGUUGUUUUCUCUGGCUCCAUAGCUUUGGAACGCCGGCAACUACAUGCACACGCCAUUGAAAAGCAAUAAUACCGCCUUUGCCGCCUAUUAAAGUCCUUACACGUAAAUCACGUUGGUCUGCGUGCCUGCGCAGGUUACCAUUGGUCUAGUCUUUCCACUCUCAAUACACGAGAGCGUCCUAAGUUGUUUUACCUGGUUCCAUGGCUUUACAACGCCGUAAACCACAUGCACACGCCAUGAAAAGGCUAUAAUACGUCCUUUCGACGCCUAUUAAAUGCCUUACACGUAAAUUGCGUGGUUCCGCGUACCUGCACAGGUUACCAUUGGUCUAGUCCUUCCACUCUCAAUACACUACGACGUUCUAAGUUAUUUUCCCCGGCUCCAUGGCUUUGGAACGCCGUCAAUUACAUGCACUCACGUCUAUAACCAGCAAUAUGGCAUUUUGCCGCCUAAUAAAAGCCUUACACGUAAGUUAGACGGUUCCACGAGUCCAUUCCGGUUACCAUUGGUCUAGUCCUUCCAUUCUCCAUAGACUAAAACGUCUUAAGUUAUUUUCCCCAGCGACGAGGCUGUACAACGCCGUCAACUACGUGCACAUGCGUCUAAAAGCUGCAAUACGGCCUUUUGCCGCCCAUUAAAUGCCUUACAUGUAAUCAUGUGGUUUCGCGUGCCUGCGCAGGUUACCAUUGUUCUAGUCCUUCCACUCUCAAUACACUAGAACGUCCUAAGUUGUUAUUCCUAGUUCCAUGGCUUUAGAACGCCGUAAUCCACAUGCACACGCCAUGAAAAGGCUAUAAUACGGCCUCUGGACGCCUAACAAAGGCCUUACACGUAAAUCACGUGGUUCCACGCGUCCAAGCUUGUUACCAUUGGUCUAGUUCUUCCACUCUCAAUACACUACGCCGUCCUAAGUUGUUUUUCCUGGUUCCAUGGCUUUACAACGCCGUAAACCACAUGCACACGCCAUAAAAAAGGCUAUAAUACGGCCUUUUAACGCCUAUUAAAUGCCUUACACGUAAUCGUGUGGUUUCGCGUGCCUGCGCAGGUUACCAUUGGUCUAGUCCUUCCACUCUCAAUACACUAGAACGUCCUAAGUUGUUAUUCCUGGUUCCAUGGCUUUAGAAAGCCCUAAUCCACAUGCACACGCCAUAAAAAGGCUAUAAUACGGCCUUUUGACGCCUAAUAAAGGCCUUACAGGUAAAUCACGUGGUUCCACCCGUUCAAGCUUGUAACCAUUGGUCUAGUUCUUUCACUCUCAAUACACGAGAGCGUCCUAAGUUGUUUUUCCUGGUUCCAUGGCUUUACAACGCUGUAAACCACAUGCACACGCCAUGAAAAGGCUAUAAUACGGACUUUUGAUGCCUAUUAAAUGCCUUACACGUAAAUCGCGUGGUUCCGCGUGCCUGCGCAGGUUACCAUUGGUCUACUCCUUCCACUCUCAAUACACUACGCCAUCCUAAGUUGUUUUCCCCGGCUCCAUGGCUUUGGAACGCCGUCAAUUACAUGCACUCACGUCUAUAACCAGCAAUAUGGCAUUUUGCCGCCUAAUAAAAGCCUUACACGUAAGUUAGACGGUUCCACGAGUCCAUACCGGUUACCAUUGGUCUAGUCCUUCCAUUCUCAAUAGACUAAAACACUUAAGUUAUUUUCCCCAGCGACAAGGCUGUACAACGCCGUCAACUACGUGCACAUGCGUCUAAAAGCUGCAAUACGGCCUUUUGCCGCCCAUUAAAUGCCUUACAUGUAAUCGUGUGGUUUCGCGUGCCUGCGCAGGUUACCAUUGUUCUAGUCCUUCCACUCUCAAUACACUAGAACGUCCUAAGUUGUUAUUCCUAGUUCCAUGGCUUUAGAACGCCGUAAUCCACAUGCACACGCCAUGAAAAGGCUAUAAUACGGCCUCUGGACGCCUAACAAAGGCCUUACACGUAAAUCACGUGGUUCCACGCGUCCAAGCUUGUUACCAUUGGUCUAGUUCUUUCACUCUCAAUACACUACGCCGUCCUAAGUUGUUUUUCCUGGUUCCAUGGCUUUACAACGCCGUAAACCACAUGCACACGCCAUGAAAAGGCUAUAAUACGGCCUUUUAACGCCUAUUAAAUGCCUUACACGUAAUCGUGUGGUUUCGAGUGCCUGCGCAGGUUACCAUUGGUCUAGUCCUUCCACUCUCAAUACACUAGAACGUCCUAAGUUGUUAUUCCUGGUUCCAUGGCUUUAGAAAGCCGUAAUCCACAUGCACACGCCAUAAAAAGGCUAUAAUACGGCCUUUUGACGCCUAAUAGAGGCCUUACAGGUAAAUCACGUGGUUCCACCCGUCCAAGCUUGUAACCAUUGGUCUAGUUCUUUCACUCUCAAUACACGAGAGCGUCCUAAGUUGUUUUUCCUGGUUCCAUGGCUUUACAACGCUGUAAACCACAUGCACACGCCAUGAAAAGGCUAUAAUACGGACUUUUGAUGCCUAUUAAAUGCCUUACACGUAAAUCGCGUGGUUCCGCGUGCCUGCGCAGGUUACCAUUGGUCUACUCCUUCCACUCUCAAUACACUACGCCGUCCUAAGUUGUUUUUCCUGGUUCCAUGGCUUUACAACGCCGUAAACCACAUGCACACGCCAUGAAAAUGCUAUAAUACGGCCUCUGGACGCCUAAUAAAGGCCUUACACGUAAAUCACGUGGUUCCACCCGUCCAAGCUUGUAACCAUUGGUCUAGUUCUUUCACUCUCAAUACACGAGAGCGUCCUAAGUUGUUUUUCCUGGUUCCAUGGCUUUACAACGCUGUAAACCACAUGCACACGCCAUGAAAAGGCUAUAAUACGGACUUUUGAUGCCUAUUAAAUGCCUUACACGUAAAUCGCGUGGUUCCGCGUGCCUGCACAGGUUACCAUUGGUCUAGUCCUUCCACUGUCAAUGCACUACGACGUCCUAAGUUGUUUUCUCUGGCUCCAUAGCUUUACAACGCCGUAAACCACAUGCAGACGCCAUGAAAAGGCUAUAAUACGGCCUUUUGACGCCUAAUAAAGGUAAAUCACGUGGUUCCACGCGUCCAAGCUUGUUACCAUUGGUCUAGUUCUUCCACUCUCAAUACACUACGCCGUCCUAAGUUGUUUUUCCUGGUUCCAUGGCUUUAGAACGCCGUAAACCACAUGGACACGCCAUGAAAAGGCUAUAAUACGGCCUUUUGACGCCAAUAAAGGUAAAUCACGUGGUUCCACGCGUCCAAGUUUGUUACCAUUGGUCUAGUUCUUCCACUCUCAAUACACUACGCCGUCCUAAGUUGUUUUCUCUGGCUCCAUAGCUUUGGAACGCCGUCAACUACAUGCACACGCCAUUGAAAAGCAAUAAUACCGCCUUUGCCGCCUAUUAAAGUCCUUACACGUAAAUCACGUUGGUCUGCGUGCCUGCGCAGGUUACCAUUGGUCUAGUCUUUCCACUCUCAAUACACGAGAGCGUCCUAAGUUGUUUUACCUGGUUCCAUGGCUUUACAACGCCGUAAACCACAUGCACACGCCAUGAAAAGGCUAUAAUACGUCCUUUCGACGCCUAUUAAAUGCCUUACACGUAAAUUGCGUGGUUCCGCGUACCUGCACAGGUUACCAUUGGUCUAGUCCUUCCACUCUCAAUACACUACGACGUUCUAAGUUAUUUUCCCCGGCUCCAUGGCUUUGGAACGCCGUCAAUUACAUGCACUCACGUCUAUAACCAGCAAUAUGGCAUUUUGCCGCCUAAUAAAAGCCUUACACGUAAGUUAGACGGUUCCACGAGUCCAUACCGGUUACCAUUGGUCUAGCCUUCCAUUCUCCAUAGACUAAAACGUCUUAAGUUAUUUUCCCCAGCGACGAGGCUGUACAACGCCGUCAACUACGUGCACAUGCGUCUAAAAGCUGCAAUACGGCCUUUUGCCGCCCAUUAAAUGCCUUACAUGUAAUCGUGUGGUUUCGUGUGCCUGCGCAGGUUACCAUUGUUCUAGUCCUUCCACUCUCAAUACACUAGAACGUCCUAAGUUGUUAUUCCUAGUUCCAUGGCUUUAGAACGCCGUAAUCCACAUGCACACGCCAUGAAAAGGCUAUAAUACGGCCUCUGGACGCCUAACAAAGGCCUUACACGUAAAUCACGUGGUUCCACGCGUCCAAGCUUGUUACCAUUGGUCUAGUUCUUCCACUCUCAAUACACUACGCCGUCCUAAGUUGUUUUCCCUGGUUCCAUGGCUUUACAACGCCGUAAACCACAUGCACACGCCAUGAAAAGGCUAACGGUCUUUUGACGCCUAUUAAAUGCCUUACACGUAAUCGUGUGGUUUCGCGUGCCUGCGCAGGUUACCAUUGGUCUAGUCCUUCCA